rnacentral:rRNA from 1 species
AGCAGCUGCGGUAAUUCCAGCUCCAAUAGCGUAUAUUAAAGUUGCUGCAGUUAAAAAGCUCGUAGUUGAAUUUCGGGACCAUCAUGUCGGUCGUGCCUCGGUACGUACUGGUAUUGUUGGUUUCUCCCUUCUGACGAACCAUGAUGUCAUUUAUUUGGUGUUGUGGGGAAUCAGGACUGUUACUUUGAAAAAAUUAGAGUGUUUAAAGCAGGCUCACGCUUGAAUACAUUAGCAUGGAAUAAUGAAAUAGGACGUUUGAUUCUAUUUUGUUGGUUUCUAGGAUCGACGUAAUGAUUAAUAGGGAUAGUUGGGGGCAUUAGUAUUCAAUUGUCAGAGGUGAAAUUCUUGGAUUUAUUGAAGACUAACUACUGCGAAAGCAUUUGCCAAGGAUGUUUUCAUUAAUCAAGAACGAAAGUUAGGGGAUCGAAGACGAUCAGAUACCGUCGUAGUCUUAACCAUAAACUAUGCCGACUAGGGAUCGGAUGAUGUUAAUUUUUUAAUGACUCA